rnacentral:rRNA from 1 species
GCUUACGCCAUACCACCCUGAACACGCCCGAUCUCGUCCGAUCUCGGAAGCUAAGCAGGGUCGGGCCUGGUUAGUACUUGGAUGGGACCGCCUGGAAUACCAGGUGCUGUAAGCU